rnacentral:rRNA from 1 species
UAGCAUAUUCAUUUGACGUUAGCUGCAGAAGAAGCACCGGCUAACUCCGUGCCAGCAGCCGCGGUAAGUACGGAGGGUGCGAGCGUUAAUCGGAAUUACUGGGCGUAAAGCGCAUGCAGGUGGUUUAGUUAAGUCAGAUGUAGAAACGGCCCGGGGCUCAACCUCGGAAUUGCAUUUGAAACUGGACAAACUAGAGUACUGUAGAGGGGGUAGAAUUUCAGGUGUAGCGGUGAAAUGCGUAGAGAUCUGAAGGAAUACCGGUGGCGAAGGCGGCCCCCUGGACAGAUACUGACACUCAGAUGCGAAAGCGUGGGGAGCAAACAGGAUUAGAUACCCUGGUAG